GCAAGGCACCUAUGCGUCCCCCGGGGCCCCGACGGAGGUGCCCGAGAUCUUCCGGCUACAAAGCCGAGCAGUGGGGUUCCAUAACCGUGGUAGGCAAUAUGCCUAAGAGAGCAAACUCCGAACAACAAACCCGGGCAGGUGGAGCUCGUUAGCCGUGGUAGGCAAUUCACCUAGGAGAGCAAACUCUAAACAAACCCGGGCAGGUGGAGCUCGUUAGCCGUGGUAGGCAAUUCACCUAGGAGAGCAAACUCUAAACAAACCCGGGCAGGUGGAGGUCGUUAGCCGUGGUAGGCAGUUCACCUAGGAGAGCAAACUCUAAACAAACCCGGGCAGGUGGAGGUCGUUAGCCGUGGUAGGCAGUUCACCUAGGAGAGCAAACUCUAAACAAACCCGGGCAGGUGGAGCUCGUUAGCCGUGGUAGGCAAUUCACCUAGGAGAGCAAACUCCGAACAACAAACCCGGGCAGGUGGAGCUCGUUAGCCGUGGUAGGCAAUUCACCUAGGAGAGCAAACUCCGAACAACAAACCCGGGCAGGUGGAGCUCGUUAGCCGUGGUAGGCAGUUCACCUAGGAGAGCAAACUCUAAACAAACCCGGGCAGGUGGAGGUCGUUAGCCGUGGUAGGCAGUUCACCUAGGAGAGCAAACUCCGAACAACAAACCCGGGCAGGUGGAGGUCGUUAGCCGUGGUAGGCAGUUCACCUAGGAGAGCAAACUCCGAACAACAAACCCGGGCAGGUGGAGCUCGUUAGCCGUGGUAGGCAGUUCACCUAGGAGAGCAAACUCCGAACAACAAACCCGGGCAGGUGGAGGUCGUUAGCCGUGGUAGGCAGUUCACCUAGGAGAGCAAACUCUAAACAAACCCGGGCAGGUGGAGCUCGUUAGCCGUGGUAGGCAAUUCACCUAGGAGAGCAAACUCUAAACAAACCCGGGCAGGUGGAGCUCGUUAGCCGUGGUAGGCAAUUCACCUAGGAGAGCAAACUCUAAACAAACCCGGGCAGGUGGAGCUCGUUAGCCGUGGUAGGCAGUUCACCUAGGAGAGCAAACUCUAAACAAACCCGGGCAGGUGGAGGUCGUUAGCCGUGGUAGGCAGUUCACCUAGGAGAGCAAACUCCGAACAACAAACCCGGGCAGGUGGAGCUCGUUAGCCGUGGUAGGCAGUUCACCUAGGAGAGCAAACUCUAAACAAACCCGGGCAGGUGGAGCUCGUUAGCCGUGGUAGGCAGUUCACCUAGGAGAGCAAACUCCGAACAAUAAACCCGGGCAGGUGGAGCUCGUUAGCCGUGGUAGGCAGUUCGCCUAGGAGAGCAAACUCCGAACAAUAAACCCGGGCAGGUGGAGCUCGUUAGCCGUGGUAGGCAGUUCGCCUAGGAGAGCAAACUCCAAACAACAAACCCGGGUUUGUGGUGCCCGUUAGAUGUCGUAGACAAUCCACGUGAUGGGAACACCAAAGAAAAUGAAAAUGAAAAAGAACACCAGAAAAAGGAAAGUGUAGAAACGAAACAUCGAGAAAAGAAAAAGAAAACACACAUCAUCCACUUUUCGGCCCUAACUAACAUCGACAAAAUUAUGGGUGAGUCUUUUCUGGGGAGAAAAAGGCUCAUCCAGACCAAAGAACAUCAACAAAAGGAUGAUAUAGAAAAGAACAUCUAGAAAACAUAGAAAAGAAAAAAGAACAGAAAAAACAUCGAAAAAGAAAAGUAGCAGCAAUAAAAGAACAACAUCAAGAAACGAAAAGUACAAAGAAACAUCAUCCACCUUUCGGCCCACACUAACAUCACCAAAAUUAUGGGUGGGUCUCUUCUGGGAGGAAAGAGGCGCACCCAGACCAUCGAAGAACAUCGACAGAGAGGAUGAUAUGGAUAAAAGAACAUCAAAGAGAAACAUCAAUAAAGAAAAACAUAAGAAACAUCAUCCACCUUUCGGCCCACACUAACAUCACCAAAAUUAUGGGUGAGUCUCUUCUGGGGAGAAAAAGGCUCAUCCAAACCAAAGAACAUCAACAAGGGAUGAUACAGAAAAGAACAUCAAGAAAGAAUGAAAAAGAGAAAAAGAAAAGGAAAAACAUCGAAAAAGAAAAGUAACAGCAGUAAAAGAACAACAUCAAGAAAAGAAAAAUACAAACAUCAUCCACCUUUCGGCCCUCACUAACAUCACCAAAAUUAUGGGUGAGUCUCUUCUGGGGAGAAAAAGGCUCAUUCAGACCAAAGAACAUCAACAAGGGAUGAUACAGAAAAGAACAUCAAGAAAGAAUGAAAAAGAGAAAAAGAAAAGAACAUCGAAAAAGAAGAGUAACAGCAGUAAAAGAACAACAUCAAGAAAAGAAAAAUACAAACAUCAUCCACCUUUCGGCCCUCACUAACAUCACCAAAAUUAUGGGCGGGUCUCUUCUGGGAGGAAAGAGGCGCACCCAGACCAUCUACGAACAUCAACAAAGAGGAUGAUAUGAAAAAAAGAACAUCAAAGAGAAACAUCAAAAAAGAAAAUAACAGCAAGAAAAAACACG